UUAAUUUUGAUGAUUAUAACUGACAACUAAGGAAAAUCCCAAAUUCAGUAUCUCAGAAAAUUAGAAUAUUGUGAAAAGGUUCAACUUUGAAGACACCUGGUGCCACACUCUAAUCAGCUAAUUAACUCAAAACACCUGCAAAGGCCUUUAAAUGGUCUCUCAGUCUAGUUCUGUAGGCUACACAAUCAUGGGGAAGACUGCUGACUUGACAGUUGUCCAAAAGACGACCAUUGACCCCUUGCACAAGGAGGACAAGACACAAAAGGUCAUUGCAAAAGAGGCUGGCUGUUCACAGAGCUCUGUGUCCAAGCACAUUAUUAGAGAGGCGAAGGGAAGGAAAAGAUAUGGUAGAUAAAAGUGUACAAGCAAUAGGGAUAACCGCACCCUGGAGAGGAUUGUGAAACAAAACCCAUUCAAAAAUGUGGGGGAGAUUCACAAAGAGUGGACUGCAGCUGGAGUCAGUGCUUCAAGAACCACUACGCACAGACGUAUGCAAGACAUGGGUUUCAGCUGUCGUGUCAAGCCACUCUUGAACAACAGACAGCGUCAGAAACGUCUCGCCUGGGCUAAAGACAAAAAGGACUGGACUGCUGCUGAGUGGUCCAAAGUUAUGUUCUCUGAUGAAAGUAAAUUUUGCAUUUCCUUUGGAAAUCAAGGUCCCAGAGUCUGGAGGAAGAGAGGAGAGGCACACAAUCCACGUUGCUUGAGGUCCAGUGUAAAGUUUCCACGGUCAGUGAUGGUUUGGGGUGCCAUGUCAUCUGCUGGUGUUGGUCCACUGUGUUUUCUGAGGUCCAAGGUCAACGUAGCCGUAUACCAGGAAGUUUUAGAGCACUUCAUGCUUCCUGCUGCUGACCAACUUUAUGGAGAUGCAGAUUUCAUUUUCCAACAGGACUUGGCACCUGCACACAGUGCCAAAGCUACCAGUACCUGGUUUAAGGACCAUGGUAUCCCUGUUCUUAAUUGGCCAGCAAACUCACCUGACCUUAACCCCAUAGAAAAUCUAUGGGGUAUUGUGAAGAGGAAGAUGUGAUAUGCCAGACCCAACAAUCCGGAAGAGCUGAAGGCCACUAUCAGAGCAACCUGGGCUCUAAUAACACCUGAGCAGUGCCACAGACUGAUCGACUCCAUGCCACGCCGCAUUGCUGCAGUAAUUCAGGCAAAAGGAGCCCCAACUAAGUAUUGAGUGCUGUACAUGCUCAUACUUUUCAUGUUCAUACUUUUCAGUUGGCCAAGAUUUCUAAAAAUACUUUCUUUGUAUUGGUCAUUACUAAUUUUCUGAGAUACUGAAUUUGGGAUUUUCCUUAGUUGUCAGUUAUAAUCAUCAAAAUUAAAAGAAAUAAACAUUUGAAAUAUAUCAGUCUGUGUGUAAUGAAUGAAUAUAAUAUACAAGUUUCACUUUUUGAAUGGAAUUAGUGAAAUAAAUCAACUUUUUGAUGAUAUUCUAAUUAUAUGACCAGCACCUGUAUAUGUAUAUAUAUAUAUAUAUAUAUAUUAUAAUUUUUUUUAUUUUUUUUUAUUUCAGUCAUAUUUAUAGAUCAUGCUUGCUGGAUCGCUAUGUUGUUUUAAUUUAGGCUGAUUUAAAUUGAUUUUAUUGACUGAUUUUUCAUUGAGAAAUACUGUAUUCCAGUAAUGAGAAUCUAAUUUGAAUAACCAUUGGGAAUAAUUUACAGAAAUCACAUCCAGAUGUAUUAUAGUAAAGAGAGAUGUUCUUAUUUGUCCAAAAAUAUAUUUAUAUGAUCUUAAUGGUCCUAAAAUAGGCAUCAUUUUCUUAAUGCAAAUAUGUGAGCUUUGUAAAUGUGAAAUGUGACCUGGCUGAAUUUCAGCCAACUACCUUAUGUCAAAGUAACAUAUCACUUUUGUCCCUGUGAAUGAUUUGAACUCUGAAUCCAAUUUGUUGUCAAGACUCAAAAGCUUGAAAGCGAUGUUUACCAUUCUGAAGAAUGAAAUUAAAUGGAGUGCUUUCCUCUGUCUCUGCGCUGCGGUGUGUCCUUCCCUGCUGCUCAUGACAGUCACAAGGUCUUCCACUGGCCGGCCCUCCUGCUUGGCGUUGCUGUAGCAUUCAUCUGUUUAUUUCUGUUUUUCAGGGCAAAUGUACUCUUUCAAUAAUCUAGAGUCACAUUGGUCACAGUUGUGGCAUAAACCAGUAGGCCCAACUACAGUCUCAAGGGGGCAAACUGUCUUCUGAGUGACAGGCACAUCAUUUCCCCUUGCAGUUCUGGUUAGAAAAUCAUGAAAUAUGUGUGACUACAUCCAUGUCAUGUAUCUUCUCUUUUAAAUUUUUCCUCGGCUUUACAUGUGAAAUUCAAGGCCACGCCCAGAGAAACUCCAGGGUCUUGACAAGAUCCACACUUACCACACGCCUCAUAAACAAUGGUGAGAGACAUUAUUAUUAUUAAUAUUAUUCCUAGCAAAGAUAGUAUUCAGCAGAAUACAUAAAUAAAAAAAUGUCUGUCUUUUAAAGCAGCAUGUCCACAUCCUGACAGUAAGAGGUUAAUUUUCAAAAUAGGCAAGGUUUCACAGCUGUAAGAUAUAUAUAUAUAUAUAUAUAUAUAUAUAUAUAUAUAAACAUCUAUAAAAACAAUUAGUAUAAAAAUUAGUAUUCAUACUGAAGGUCUUCUUUCCAUAAGUCAUCUAGGCUAUGAGUUCAACAAGUAGAAUGUGAAUCAGAUUCCCUGACCGCACGCUGAGUUCGUGUGCAUGCGCUACUGCAGUCAUGCAUGCUGUCGACUAAACCAAUGACAUUUUCACAAAAGGCUGAGGUUUAUAUGUAUUUACAAUAAAUAUCUCAGUAAAUACUGAAAUUCUUAAGUGGUCUUUAAUUGUUUGUAUAAAAAAUGGGCCACACAGACUAAAAAAAAUGCAGUGUUGCUGCAAGAAAAUCGUAAAAGACACAUUCUGACGAUUGUGGCGAAUUUUGCCGAGUUUUGCCAGUAGAGGACGAGUUAACUGAUAUUAAUUAUGAAAGGUACUACUUACUUUAUGGUUUUGUUGUUUUUGGGAUGUUUUUUUCAAUCCACUUGACCUAAAAACGGAGGGGGCACUGGUGAUAAAAUAUGAUUUUAUUUAUUGAAACUUUUUUUUUUUUUUAAUAUGACCCCUUUAGACUUUCUCCAAAUGAUGGAGCUGAAGGUCAGUUUGAAAGCAUCCUGUAUUCUCAAUUCAUUCUAAUCAAUGUAGAUUUGUUAAUAUUUAUAUUUUGACAGUGUGAAUACAUAAGGAGUUGUACAGUAAGUGGCAAGGAAAAACACAUUUUGUGAUAAAAUAGAGGAGGUGGCACCCACACAUGAUUAAAUAGCUCUGAACAACUUGAACAUAUCAAUUCAGAAUGCUUCCUUGGUAAAUAAACUUUUUUUUUAUCAGUUCUGUAGGCUGUUUUGUCUCAGUACUCUAGAAUUAGUGCAUGAUAAACAAUGGGCCGUGUUAGUUUGGCAACAAUGAGGGGUCAUCCAAGGUUUGGCCACUAAUUGGUCCAUUAUGCGAGACCAUUCCAGCCUCUCUUUCUCCCUCAUCUUCUGUUGGGUCCAUCUCUUACUCUCACAGUUCUUUUUACUACUCAGACAAACUCUCUGCAGACAUAAAUCAAUUGAAAAAUAAUUUAAUUGCACAUUUAAUUAGCAUGUUGAUUGCCGUGGUGCAAUGCACCAUAAAUAAAAGCAGCGUUGAGCUUUUGUUGUCUGAUUUGAAACAGACUAAGACAUUCCCUAGAAUCUGAUGACCAGGGACAGUCAAGCAGGAAGAAACAAUUUCCUCAUGGAUUACAUGCAAUGCAUCAGCCUGCAGCAUAUGCCAUUGAAUUAGAAUGAUAGCACUCAAUACAUGUGUGCGCAAAUGAUUUAUCAUAGAGGCAAUAUGUGGCCACUCACUACAGUCAUCUUAGCUGCCCCAGGUUAUUGCUGCUAACAUUUAAUGAGGCUGAUAUGCUGUUGAUGCUCUGAAAACAUGCAUAUAGAAAAAAAGGGAUGCAUAUCGGUGACCAUAUUGGUAUUGUCUUGCAUUAGCAGGUCAGCUGGCAGCAAAUAAUAUCAUGGAUUAGGCCUAUAUUUUCCAGUGCAGUCCGUAUACUAUAUAUAUGCUAUGUUCUAAAAGUAUUAAAUGCUGUUAUUGUAAAGUACAGGCAAAAAUGUGGAAUUUAAAUAAAUGGAUAUAUAUCAGUGAAAAUAGUGAAUGUCACCCACAAAAGAAAAUGAAAACAAGAAAAUAUAGUCUGCACAUAGUAAAUAGUAAAUAAAAAAAAAGUAAUAAUUAAGCAUGUGUCUGGAACCUUUGGUUUUUAUUAAUAAUAUUAUUUAUUUAUUUAUUUUUGUAAUCCCCAUUAUUCUUAGUGUUGAUGUCAUUACUAUAAUAUGGUGUUUUUUGGGGUUUUUUUUAACAUGUUAAAAAAAAAAAAAAUAUAUACUGUAGCCUACUACAAUUAGAUUUAUACAGAGCCCCUAAAAUGGUGAUGGAAAAAAAGAAAAUACAGUAUGAGAUGGGAGGAAAAAUUAUAUUUCAAUGUUUAUUUUUGUGGUCUCUCGCAAAUGUUCUGCGUUCCCCUGAGAAACUUAGCAUUCACUCGCAGACAACUCAAAAUGUUUCUCGAGGGAACACAAAAGUUUUGCGAAUGAACGCAAAGUAUCUUGGGGGAACACAAAAGUUUUGCGAACGAACACAAAGUUUCUUGGGAGAACGGAAGAAGUUUUGCGAAGGAACGCAAAGUUUCUCGGGGAAACACAAAAGUUUCGAGAACGAACGCAAAGUUUCUCGGUGGAAUGGAAAAAGUUUUACGAACGAACGCAAAGUUUCUCGGGGGAAUGGAAAAAGUUUUCCGAACGAAUGCAAAGUUUUUCGGGGAACGCGAAAGUUUUGCGAACAAACGCAAAAGUUUUGCAAACAAACGCAAAGUUUCUCGGGGGAAUGGAAAAAGUUUUGCGAAAGAAUGCAAAAUUUUUCGUAGGAACGCAAAGGUUUUGCAAACAAACGCAAGGUUUCUUGGGGGAACACAAAAGUUUUGCGAACAAACGCAAAGUUUCUCGGGGGAACGCAAAUACUUUGCAUAUGAACGCAAAGAUUCUUGGGGGAACACAAAAGUUUUGCGAGGGAACACAAAAUCAUGUCCACCACCAUGUCACUUUAGGUGCUAUGUAGAUUUAUGUAAAUACAUUAGAAUUUAAUAUCCUUUUUUUCCAUUACAGUAGUAUAAAUUCUGAAAGGUGUUUUUAAUUGUCAUAAUAAAUGUCAAACUUAUUGUCAUCAAUAAUAAUACCACAAAGCAAAAAUGUUCUAAUGGUUCUAAAAAUAGGCUUUUUUUUAUAUAUAUAUAUGUAUGUAUAUUAGAUUGCAUUGCAGAAAAUAUUAUGUGUCAAACACAAGACAUUAUGUGUAACUUCGAUGACAAAGAGUUACUGAAGCCUCACUCACCCCAACACAAGAAACAAACCUGCAGAACAAACAACAUUUGCAUAAUUGUUUUUAUUCACUAUUAUUGUUCUUUUAUACUUUAUUAUCUGUUUCUUUGUUUCCUUUUUUUUUUUUUCUUUUUGGUGGACAUCCUGUAAAAUCAAUCUUGAAGCCCUUAUUUGGGUUUGUUGUACAUCGUCAUAGCAGAACAGGAGGAGGACUGGAGCGGGGUGGACCCCUUUAAUCUGUCAAUCAGCCCUACAUCUUAAAAAGUGAUUUCUUUUUUUUUUUUCAUUGUCUCACGAAGUGUACCUCACAUAGUAUUUACACAUACAGCGGACAACGUCCACUCAAAAUGACACCAGGAUAAAAAGAUCUGCUCUUUUAUAGAUAUUCAUUUCUCUCUCUUUCUCUCUUUUUCUGUUGCAGACAAAAUUUGAGGAGUAAAUCCUCUUUUUAUGUUUUCGUGCUGAGUUUAGGGUGCGCUGGACGUAAAAUGAAUCUUUCUGCACAUAAAACUCUUUUCAAUAAAUACCUUGCAGGAAACAACUGUACAAUCGUACACAGUGUUUGACUUUGAUAUAUUUUUGGAGCAUGUUAGUAAAACUAAAAAUAUAAGAAAGCAAAUCAAACUAUAAUUUAUCAAAAUCCCAAAGUAACAAAAUCAUGCAUAUUUAAUGUUUCAAUAUAUAUAUACUUUUUUGUCCAUAAAAACCGAAAAAGUAACAUGAUUGGCGGGCCUUUUUUUUAUUUACAUUAAUAUUGGCACUGUUUAUUUUUCUUUGAAUCUGGAAUGAUCGUUAUGAAACACUUAAUGUUCAUGUCAGUGUAACACUCUCAUGGACAGAAGGACGCUUGCUCUAAAAACUCUGGAUUACAUCCUAUUUAGGCUAAAGGAAAACAGAAUAAAAAGAAAAUAGAUUGCUUCCUAGGGGUCAGACCACCAAAAAUAAACUACAGUGUGAAUGUGAGUAAAAAUGCCAUUUGACUCCAUAUUCAGACAGCGGCAGAUUUCACCUUUGAAGCAAAACCAAAUGACAUCAUAAUUUUUUUUCUUUCUCUCAGGAUACCACCUUUAUCCU